rnacentral:lncRNA from 1 species
UGGGAGGGGGGAGGGGAGGGGAGGAAGGGGCGGGGGCGGGGGCGGGCACAAGGGCCUGGAGGAGAGGGAGGGCUGGUCCUGGACACCCAGCAGGCCAGAGUGCGGUGGGUUGCUUCCUUAGAUCAGAGCCCAGACUUUUCGGGAGGAGCACCCCGGGGAGCCUAGUGGAAGUGGAAGGUAAAGGACGCCUCCCUCCCCCCUGCUCCCCUGCUCUCUGGCUCGGGGCUCUUCCAGAGGCCUAACCCGGUCCCGAAUCCCGCCAGGGCAGCUGAGAGUCACCAUCCGGACUCUGUUCUCCACAAUUUCCGGGUCUCACCUGUCUAAGGCUGCCUCACCAGCGGAGACGUCCUCUUCAGGGCCCUCCAGGCCACCCUCCCAAGAGCACCCCAAGGAGCCGGGCACUGCCAACAAGCUGCCGCUCCCCCAAGAGCAGCCGCAGCCCCAGGAGCUCCCCCAAGAGCAGCCGCAGCCCCAGGAGCUCCCCCAAGACCAGCCGCAGCCCCAGGAGCUCCCCCAAGACCAGCCGCAGCCCCAGGAGCUCCCCCAAGACCAGCCGCAGCCCCAGGAGCUCCCCCAAGACCAGCCGCAGCCCCAGGAGCUCCCCCAAGACCAGCCGCAGCCCCAGGAGCUCCCCCAAGACCAGCCGCAGCCCCAGGAGCUCCCCCAAGACCAGCCGCAGCCCCAGGAGCUCCCCCAAGACCAGAUGCAGCCGCAGCCCCAAGAGGGCCCCCAAGAGAGGCGCCAUUCCAAGGGGCACCACCACCAUUCAAAACACCACCACCACCAUUCAAAAUGGCAGCAGCUCCCCCAAGAGCAGCCACAGCCCCGAAGGCUGUGCAAAUGCCAGAAAACACAGGAGCCGCCACUGCGGGUUAAGGUUCGGGACACCUUAGGGGAGCCCAGAACCCUGGCCGAAGUUAUGUUAAAAAAAUUAGAGGCCUGGGAUGCCUGGCGGUUCGGGUGGGUCCGCUGCCAGCCUCCGGAAGCCGCCGGGGUCGCCACAGAGCAGCCCAAGGACAAACCGAGGGACGGACCGGAGCCCACCCAGGCCUCACAGCCCUGCGCCAGUUUCAAGGCUCUGAGGAAGGCUAUCCAGAAGCCACCGAGCUGGCUCACCAGAGCAUGGCAACAGGGCAAAAAGGUGGUCUGCACCUGUACCAGGGGCUCCAGCUAAUCCCCUGCCCAGGCCACCUAACUGCAUUAGAUUUUUUUUUUAAUUUUUUAAAAUAUAUUUUAUUUGAUUAUUUCCAAGCAUUAUUCAUUAAAGACAUAGAUCAUUUCUUUUCCU